rnacentral:rRNA from 1 species
AUGGUGAUUCAGAAGCUCUGCAUCCAUGACGUGGACACGUCCGCAUGGCACUUGUACGACUCCAUCAAGGAAUGGUGGGCGAGUUUGAGCGCCGAGGGCACCGCCAACCGAAAAGCGAAGGCUUCGAUAACCAUGUUGGUUUCAUGGGUGAUCUGGAAUGAGCAUAAUGCAAGGGUGUUUAGACAGAAGAGUGCCCCUCCGCAUGUUUUGCUAAACAAUGUGAUCGAAGAGUCUAACCUUUGGGUUAAAGCCGGGGCGAAAAAACUAGGGUCUUUCUUAUUGCGAGAGUAA